GUGGGGAAUUUUGGACAAUGGGGGCAACCCUGAUCCAGCCAUGCCGCGUGAGUGAAGAAGGCCUUCGGGUUGUAAAGCUCUUUCGGUGGGAACGAAACGCUCUGCACUAAUAAUGCGGGGUAAUGACGGUACUCACAGAAGAAGCACCGGCUAACUACGUGCCAGCAGCCGCGGUAAUACGUAGGGUGCGGGCGUUAAUCGGAAUUACUGGGCGUAAAGGGUGCGCAGGCGGCGGCUCAAGUCAGGUGUGAAAGCCCCGGGCUUAACCUGGGAUGUGCGCUUGAAACUAGGUCGCUAGAGUGUGUCAGAGGGGGGUGGAAUUCCACGUGUAGCAGUGAAAUGCGUAGAGAUGUGGAGGAACACCGAUGGCGAAGGCAGCCCCCUGGGAUAACACUGACGCUCGGGCACGAAAGCGUGGGGAGCAAACAGGAUUAGAAACCCCGGUAGUCC
rnacentral:rRNA from 1 species